AGUGUGUGCCGAGGUCCAUCAGCAGUUGCAUGACUCUUAUGUUAGUGUACCACCAAUGAAGCACGAUAGGAAAACCCAAAAAGACCAAAGAGGAAGUUAAAGAAAAUAGAAGGCUUGCCGCGCGACAACGCCGAGAACGAAUUAAAAAUACCCCUUUUUGUAUUAGCAAUCAAAAAAAAAAAAUAAAGGAGAAAGAAGGGUACAAUAAAAAAAAUAAAAAAAUACUGCCUAUCUGCGAAAUGUCACCAAAAGCCAGAAGAAAACUCAAAAAAGAAGUAGAGAAAAUUUCAGAACUUACUAUAAAAGACAAAAGGAAAAGGGAAAAUUGAAAACAAUCGAGGAAGAAGGGACCUUAGAUAUAGAGGUGCUUGAUAA
rnacentral:misc_RNA from 1 species